UGAAAAUGUUCUGGAAAUUGUGAAAGGAAAAUCAAAAUGGAGUUAGUACUGCUAAGAGAGCUCUUUAAAAUGGAGGCAGGAGGCCAUU